GUCUAUGGCCAUACCACCCUGAACACGCCCUAUCUCGUCUGAUCUCGGAAGCUAAGCAGGGUCGGGCCUGGUUAGUACUUGGUUGGGAGAUU
rnacentral:rRNA from 1 species